UCUACCUGCAGGUCCAUGGUCGCCGUCGCUAUGAGAUGCUGAAGGAGAUCAAUGACGCCCUGCAAUUGGCUGAGGGGGGGGCGGCACCGAGGCCGUCCAGAGGUCGCCGUGUGAAGGUGGAGGGGGGGGGUCCCCAACCCUGCAGUGGGAAGAAGCUGCUGCAGAAAGACCCGGAUUAAACCACGCCCCCUUUGGCUUUAGCCACGCCCACUACCCCCAUAAGCCACGCCCCCCUUUUGCCUUAACCACGCCCCCUUCAUUUGCAUAACCGCGCCCCCAUUCAUUUAGCCAUUCCUAUUGCUACGCCCCCUUCCCAUUAGCCACGCGCCCUGUCAAUCAUCUAUUAGACCCCGCCCCCUCACCCAGGCCACGCCCCCUUCCCUUUAGCCACGCCCACUUUGUAUUAACCACGCCCCCUCCCUCUUAGCUCCGCCCCCCUUUUCCAUUUAGCCACGCCCCCUUCCCUUUAGCCCUGCCCCUAUUGGCCCGCCCCCUUUUCCCGUUAGCCCCGCCCACUUUCCCUUUAGCCACGCCCCCUAC